rnacentral:lncRNA from 1 species
GCCUGCUCUGGCCCGGGCCCUGUGCUGACCGACCCCCGGUGUGGCCCACUCCGGCCCUGCCCAGUUGCGUGGCUCCCGCCUGGCACGCCAGCGGCCUCGGAGCAGCUCAAGCCCAUGAGGCCGGCGCGCCCUGCCGCCGGUGCAAAAGAGACGGAGCUCCCGGCCCCCGCGGUGGAGCGGUGGAUCAAUGCGGUUCAGGAAUCGAUUCCAGCGGUGAGAGUUCUGCGGGGAACGUGCUCCGUCCCGGGGGAUCCCGAGCCCUGACGAGGACCGGCUCCCGGGAAGACUCGCAGUUCUGCGAUCCCCUUCCUCCAGGCAGCUUGGGAUCUGUGCCCCGGGACCCCGCAUCUGCUUUGCCUCCUCCAUCCGCUUGCAAACCUAGCUUGGCCCUUGAGAUCCCCAUCCAGACACCGCUGCUGCUAGCUUCUAGCAGACUACUCCAGCCUCAGAGCCCCCUCCCCACGACUCCACUCAGGGCCUCCACCCUUAUACAAACCCCAACGUGAGGUCUCUUAAGGCUGCUGCAGCACCCUGUGGCGAUGUUUGUCUUACAGCGGGUAGGAGGUCUGGCCUGAGCUUUUUGAGGUGUUUUGUCGGUGGUUGGCCCUAGAGACAGGGAAACUGAGGCACGCUUCUCUAGGUCCAGCUUUCCUGAUGGUGUCCGGAGGGGUUGUGUGUCUCGGGCUAAGAACCUAAUGGUGUGCUAUUUGGGGGAUUUUUUUUUGGCAGGGGCAAGUUAGCAUUCAGGUGGAGAGACAUGCCUUUGAGAAACCUGGUUUUAGGAAAUAGGGAGAAAGAACGGAGGAGGCGCCACCGGAAGGCGGGUUGUCUGCUCUACACUAAAGAGGUGGUAGGGUAGCCCGACUUGAGGGACAUAGUGUGGCCCUUCUCUCCCGGGUGGAUUACCUGCGUGGAAGGAAUGAUGAAGGCUGCCGACCUAUUGUUCCCAAAGAAAGCUCUGGGCUUUAAUGUUUCUAAGUGGGUGAAAGUUCACCCAUGGGGUUUCUGGUAACUCCAUCCCUUUGUCUGAGCCUGGCAGCCAUACCCAUUCCCAGCCCUUCACCACCAACAGGGUAGCCUAGUGUGAUGUACCAGAGAAUUCAAAAGCAGAAAUGCUUAAAAUCUUCCGAGCAGGCUAUUGAGUUUGAAGUGGUCUUUCUUUUUAUUUUAAAAUGUAAACACACCAUUUAGUUUUCCUUUCCCUUCUUUCCCCUGUUCACUCAUUAAUGCUUAUCUCAUUUCUUCCAGUCUCAAAGGGUAAAAGAGCCAACACAACAUGCACAGGAUGAGGGUGGUCUUUGCGCUCAGUAUUGGGGGAGAUCGGCUUGAAGAUUUGGAUUGCUUUCUGAAUAUUGCUUAUUACUUGGUGGCUGGAAGUCUGGCACUAUCGUUGGAGGAGAACUACGUCUCUAUGUCAAAGGCAGAAAGGAACCUUGGUCUUUCUCGUUUAGAACCACAGUGGAUUUAAGAGACUCUGUAACGUGUGUGAACCUCAUGUCCUGUGCGUGUGGGUUGUUUGUCUGAUUCUUUCCUUUGCAUGUCUUUGUGGGCUUCCUGCUUUCAGAGACCAGUAGCUAUAUUCUGCAAAAUUACCCCUUCCCUAUUUGACGAAGAGUUUGGGUUUCUAGUCUAUCCUUUUGAAUUCUAUAAAAAGAAGGAAAAUGUCUGUUUUUGCUUAUUGUACCAACAUUCAGAGAGCUCUAAAAUGAAAAAAUAAAAACCACCUCAGCUGAUUGAGCAAUCUUUUUUAAUGGACAGAAUUCACUUUCAUCCUAUUUUGGAGUCUUACCCAUUCAAACAUUAGAAUACACAGGGGUUAUCUUUCAGAGUAUCACAGAAUGUAAUUGUUGAGUAGGUGUAUAUUAUAGGUGUAUAUUAUUGUGCUCUGCAAAUGUUAGUUGUGUCUUUCUUGGUGAUCCCUGGGUCUCCUUUGAUUCUGAUUGAUGCAAUCCCUUCAUUACCUCUUUCUCUAUUAUAGCCUAGACUAUUUAUAAGCAUCAAUUUGAACUUGAGAAUCAGCCUGCAAAUACAAAGUAAUAUCAGAAAAGUCCUGAGUUUUAUGAUUCACACAUUAAAAGGUUGAAAAUUGUCUUCCACAUCUUUUUGUCUUCAUGAAACAUUUUGGUGUGCGUCCAGGGCGGGCAGAUCAUACGGGAGGCACACACUGUCUCUGAACUAAUAUGUUCUUUUCCUUGACAUACAUGCUGGUACUCAGUUGAGGAACAGUUCAUUAGACAAUGGUUUAUAGCUCUGCCUAAAUAAGAAAAUACCUUACAGUUCCACUCAAGGUGGAGCCUGGGUGGUUACUGUGGCUUUGGAUCAUCUUCCAGACUUCUGCCAUUUAUAUGAGGAAGGCUGUAAGGGAACAGUUAAAGCCACAAAAACAAACAAACAAACACCAAAGUAAACCUUAGGAUGUG